CAAGAGGAUUUGAUAGCCACCAUGUCCACCACUUGCAUUUGCAUGCUAGAUGAAGACCAUCUAAGAUUGAUUGACUUGAGGACCCUCUUUCACCACUGUUUUGUAGAAUCCAGUUGUAGCAAAUGAAGAUUUCUCUCAGCAAAAUUGAAGAACAAAUUUUUUCAAUUUGCUGGAGUCGCUAAAUGAGAUCAAGGAAGUUAUCAUUUACUCUUCUUUUCAAGUAGUAUACCACCAUUUCUCACUCAUCUGUGGGUCUCCAGCAUCCAAAAACUGCUCAGUUGUCGGUGUCAUAGAAGAGUU